rnacentral:rRNA from 1 species
CACGUAGGGCGCAAGCGUUGUCCGGAAUUAUUGGGCGUAAAGAGCUCGUAGGCGGUCUGUUACGUCUGCUGUGAAAACCCGGGGCUUAACCCUGGGCUUGCAGUGGAUACGGGUAGACUAGAGGCAGGUAGGGGAGAAUGGAAUUCCCGGUGUAGCGGUGAAAUGCGCAGAUAUCAGGAGGAACACCAAUGGCGAAGGCAGCUCGCUGGGACGGUAUUGACGCUGAGACGCGAAAGCGUGGGGAGCAAACAGG